rnacentral:lncRNA from 1 species
CAACCUCUUUCCACACACUGCCACCUGCUGUUGCACAUUUUCUGGACACAGGCCUCACAUGCCAGCAACUGUAACUAACAAAAGAGGCAGUGGACACUUAGUUAAACAAGCAAGUAAACCAACUCCAGAAGAAGUCAACACAAUAUGAGAAUUUUUUUCUGCCAUAUGCCUAGCAGGGAGCUUAGUGAGCCAACUGCAGACUCAUAG